AUUGAACGCUGGCGGAAUGCUUUACACAUGCAAGUCGAGGGGUAGCAGGAUUAAGCUUGCUUAAUUGCUGACGACCGGCGCACGGGUGCGUAACGCGUAUGCAACCUACCUUAUACUGGGGUAUAGCCCGGAGAAAUUCGGAUUAAUCCCCCAUAGUACUAAUGAAUCGCAUGGUUUAUUAGUUAAAGCAUUGCGGUAUAAGAUGGGCAUGCGUCCUAUUAGCUAGAUGGUGAGGUAACGGCUCACCAUGGCUACGAUAGGUAGGGGGCCUGAGGCGGUGGUCCCCCACACUAGUACUGAGACACGGACCAGACUCCUACGGGAGGCAGCAGUGAGGAAUAUUGGUCAAUGGGCGCAAGCCUGAACCAGCCAUGCCGCGUGCAGGAAGAAUGCCCUAUGGGUUGUAAACUGCUUUUAUUUGGGAAUAAACCUCUUUACGUGUAGAGAGCUGAAGGUACCAAAUGAAUAAGCACCGGCUAACUCCGUGCCAGCCGCCGCCGUAA
rnacentral:rRNA from 1 species